AGUGAACGCUGGCGGUAGGCCUAACACAUGCAAGUCGAACGGCAGCACAGAGGAGCUUGCUCCUUGGGUGGCGAGUGGCGGACGGGUGAGGAGUACAUCGGAAUCUACUCUGUCGUGGGGGAUAACGUAGGGAAACUUACGCUAAUACCGCAUACGACCUACGGGUGAAAGCAGGGGAUCUUCGGACCUUGCGCGAUUGAAUGAGCCGAUGUCGGAUUAGCUAGUUGGCGGGGUAAAGGCCCACCAAGGCGACGAUCCGUAGCUGGUCUGAGAGGAUGAUCAGCCACACUGGAACUGAGACACGGUCCAGACUCCUACGGGAGGCAGCAGUGGGGAAUAUUGGACAAUGGGCGCAAGCCUGAUCCAGCCAUACCGCGUGGGUGAAGAAGGCCUUCGGGUUGUAAAGCCCUUUUGUUGGGAAAGAAAUCCAUCUGGUUAAUACCCGGGUGGGAUGACGGUACCCAAAGAAUAAGCACCGGCUAACUUCGUGCCAGCCGCCGCGGUAACAC
rnacentral:rRNA from 1 species